GAUGAACGCUGGCGGCGUGCUUAACACAUGCAAGUCGAACGGCAAGGCCCUGCUUUUGUGGUGUGCUCGAGUGGCGAACGGGUGAGUAACACGUGUGUAACCUGCCCUUGAUUUUGGGAUAACUUCAGGAAACUGGGGCUAAUACCGGAUAGGAGCUCCCGCUGCAUGGUGGGGGUUGGAAAGUUUCGGCGGUCGGGGAUGGACUGGCGGCUUAUCAGCUAGUUGGUGGGGUAGUGGCUUACCAAGGCUGUGACGGGUAGCCGGCCUGAGAGGGGGACCGGCCACAAGAGGACUAAGAGACGGCCCAGACGCGUACGGGAGACAGCAGGGGGGAGUAUUGCACAAUGGGCGGAAGCCUGAUGAAGCAGCGCCGCGUGCGGGAUGACGGCCUUCGGGGUGUGAACCGCUUUCGCCUAUGACGAAGCGGGAGUGACGGUAAUGGAUGAAGAAGCACCGGCUAACUACGUG
rnacentral:rRNA from 1 species